rnacentral:rRNA from 1 species
GUAAGGAAUAUUGGUCAAUGGACGGAAGUCUGAACCAGCCAUGCCGCGUGAAGGAUGACUGCCCUCUGGGUUGUAAACUUCUUUUAUCUGGGACGAAAAAAGGGCUUUUUAGCUCACUUGACGGUACCAGAGGAAUAAGCACCGGCUAACUCCGUGCCAGCAGCCGCGGUAAUACGGAGGGUGCAAGCGUUAUCCGGAUUUACUGGGUUUAAAGGGUGCGUAGGUGGGCAGGAAAGUCAGUGGUGAAAUCUCCGGGCUUAACCCGGAAACUGCCAUUGAUACUAUUUGUCUUGAAUACUUUGGAGGUAAGCGGAAUAUGUCAUGUAGCGGUGAAAUGCUUAGAUAUGACAUAGAACACCAAUUGCGCAGGCAGCUUACUACACAGUAAUUGACACUGAGGCACGAAAGCGUGGGGAUCAAACAGGAUUAGAUACCCUUGUAGUCC